rnacentral:rRNA from 1 species
AACGAACGCUGGCGGCAGGCCUAACACAUGCAAGUCGAACGGUCCCUUCGGGGAUAGUGGCGCACGGGUGAGUAACGCGUGGGAAUAUACCCUUAGGUAAGGAAUAAUGUCUGGAAACGGACACUAAUACCUUAUAAUGGCUCCGGCCCAAAGAUUUAUCGCCUAAGGAUUAGCCCGCGUCAGAUUAGAUAGUUGGUGAGGUAACGGCUCACCAAGUCGACGAUCUGUAGCUGGUCUGAGAGGAUGAUCAGCCACACUGGAACUGAGACACGGUCCAGACUCCUACGGGAGGCAGCAGUGAGGAAUAUUGGACAAUGGGGGCAACCCUGAUCCAGCCAUGCCGCGUGAGUGAAGAAGGCCUUAGGGUUGUAAAGCUCUUUCAAUAGUGAAGAUAAUGACGGUAGCUAUAGAAGAAGCCCCGGCUAAAUUCG